CCAAUAGCGUAUAUUAAAGUUGUUGCAGUUAAAAAGCUCGUAGUUGAAUUUCGGGAUUGACACAUCGGUCGUGCCUUAAGGGGUAUGAACUGGUGUAGUCAAUUUCUCACCUUCUGGAGAACCACGAUGCCCUUAAUUGGGUGUCGCGGGGAACCAGGACCUUUACUUUGAAAAAAUUAGAGUGUUUAAAGCAGGCAUUUUGCUUGAAUACAUUAGCAUGGAAUAAUUAAAUAGGACGGCAUGAUUCUAUUUUGUUGGUUUCUAGGAUCACCGUAAUGAUUAAUAGGGAUAGUUGGGGGCAUUAGUAUUCAAUUGUCAGAGGUGAAAUUCUUGGAUUUAUUGAAGACUAACUACUGCGAAAGCAUUUGCCAAGGAUGUUUUCAUUAAUCAAGAACGAAAGUUAGGGGAUCGAAGACGAUCAGAUACCGUCGUAGUCUUAACCAUAAACUAUGCCGACUAGGAAUCAGACGAUGUUAAUUUUUUAAUGACUCGUUUGGCACCUUACG
rnacentral:rRNA from 1 species